UUAAUUAAAGCCAAAAAGAGGCAUCUUAAUGUUAAUAAGAAUAAUGGAAUUAUACCUAAUUAAA
rnacentral:tRNA from 1 species